rnacentral:tRNA from 1 species
GGGGUCGUGGCUCAGUGGUAGAGUGCUUACCUCACAUGUGUGAGGCACUGGGUUCUAUUCUCAGCACCACA